GAUGAACGCUGGCGGCGUGCCUAAUACAUGCAAGUCGAGCGAACAGACGAGGAGCUUGCUCCUCUGACGUUAGCGGCGGACGGGUGAGUAACACGUGGAUAACCUACCUAUAAGACUGGGAUAACUUCGGGAAACCGGAGCUAAUACCGGAUAAUAUAUUGAACCGCAUGGUUCAAUAGUGAAAGACGGUUUUGCUGUCACUUAUAGAUGGAUCCGAGCCGCAUUAGCUAGUUGGUAAGGUAACGGCUUACCAAGGCGACGAUGCGUAGCCGACCUGAGAGGGGGAUCGGCCACACUGGAACUGAGACACGGUCCAGACUCAUACGGGAGGCAGCAGUAGGGAAUCUGCCGAUAUGGGCGAAAGCCUGACAGAGCAACGCCACGUGAGUGAUGAAGGUCUUCGGAUCGUAAAACUCUGUUAUUAGGGAAGAACAAAUGUGUAAGUAACUAUGCACGUCUUGACGGUACCUAAUCAGAAAGCCACGGCUAACUACGUG
rnacentral:rRNA from 1 species